GUAACGGAGGAGCACGAAGGUGGGCUAAUCACGGUUGGACAUCGUGAGGUUAGUGCAAUGGCAUAAGCCCGCUUGACUGCGAGAAUGACAAUUCGAGCAGGUGCGAAAGCAGGUCAUAGUGAUCCGGUGGUUCUGAAUGGAAGGGCCAUCGCUCAACGGAUAAAAGGUACUCCGGGGAUAACAGGCUGAUACCGCCCAAGAGUUCAUAUCGACGGCGGUGUUUGGCACCUCGAUGUCGGCUCAUCACAUCCUGGGG
rnacentral:rRNA from 1 species